UAACGAGCGAGAUAUCGCCAAUUAUUUACUUUGCCGAAGUCCUUCGGUUAAAGUUCUAAUUGGGACUCCUGCGAUUUUAGCAGGUGGAAGAGGGUAGCAAUAACAGGUCCGUGAUGCCCUUUAGAUGCUCUGGGCUGCACGCGUGCUACAAUGUUAGGAUCAAUAGGACUGCGAGCCUGAGAGGGUGCGCUACUCUUAUAAUCCCUAACGUAGUUGGGAUUGACGUUUGUAAUCAGCGUCAUGAACCAGGAAUCCCUUGUAAAUGUGUGUCAACAACGCACGUUGAAUACGUCCCUGCCCUUUGUACACACCGCCCGUCGCUCCUACCGAUUGGAUGACUCGGUGAAAUCACCGGAUGCUUACGAGCAGAAAGUGAUUAAAUCACGUUAUCUAGAGGAAGGAGAAGUCGUAACAAGGUAACGGUAGGUGAACCUGCCGUUGGAUCAGUU
rnacentral:ncRNA from 1 species